UGUGACCUCAAAUCAGGUAGGACUACCCGCUGAACUUAAGCAUAUCAAUAAGCGGAGGAAAAGAAACUAACAAGGAUUCCCCUAGUAACUGCGAGUGAAGCGGGAAAAGCUCAAAUUUAAAAUCUGGCGGUCUUUUGGCUGUCCGAGUUGUAAUCUAGAGAAGUGUUAUCCGCGCUGGACCGUGUACAAGUCUCCUGGAAUGGAGCAUCAUAGAGGGUGAGAAUCCCGUCUUUGACAUGGACUGCCAGGGCUUUGUGAUGCGCUCUCAAAGAGUCGAGUUGUUUGGGAAUGCAGCUCAAAAUGGGUGGUAAAUUCCAUCUAAAGCUAAAUAUUGGCGAGAGACCGAUAGCGAACAAGUACCGUGAGGGAAAGAUGAAAAGAACUUUGGAAAGAGAGUUAAACAGUACGUGAAAUUGCUGAAAGGGAAACGCUUGAAGUCAGUCACGUCGCCCAGGGAUCAGCCUUGCUUUUGCUUGGUGCACUUUCUGGUUUGAUGGGUCAGCAUCAAUUUUGACUAUUGGAAAAAGGCUCUAGGGAAUGUGGCAUCUUUGGAUGUGUUAUAGCCCUUGGUCAUAUACAAUGGUUGGGAUUGAGGAACUCAGCACGCCGCAAGGCCGGG
rnacentral:rRNA from 1 species